UGCAUGCCCCUGGCGGCAGGACGGCUCCUCUCGGGACCGUGUAGCGGCUUGAGUAUCUAUGACUUUCUGCGCUUAGACCUUUCUUUGGGAAAUGGUUGAGGUUUCUGAGGGUCUUUGUUUUCCCUUCAUCUCUUUAGAAAUUGAGAUGAGGAGAAGGGAGGGUACUCCCGUAUCUCACAAAGACCUUUCUUGAGGCAUUUUGCAUCUGGCACAGCUUUUGGACAUUUACAUUUAUAAAAUGUCUUUUUAAAAAUAACUUUUUAUCUUGAGGUUAGUACAAAAACUUCCAUAUACACCUCAUCCAGAUUUCCUAGGUGUUAACAUUUAUUUAACAGAACAAUCAGCAAAACCAGGACACCCACAUCUGUAGGCAUUAUUUAUGUCUCUGUUUGUCUCACCUAUUGCCUUUUUGUGGUAUAGGGUCCAAGACAGGAUUUAGUUGCGUUUAGUUGUUCUGUCUCCCUGGAAUGUUUACAUUUUAAACAUCAGAUACCCCCUUCCUCCCCCCUUUCCCAAGACUCUUCAGACCUGGGAGCUCCGAGUCUUAAAUCAAUGUGCUUUUUCUUUGCUGGGUGCCUGGGCCAGUUGUGACUAUCUACCUGGGCCUCUGGGCAGCUUUGGCACAGGUGACUACCCUCUGUUCCUUCUCCUAGUGCUCUAGCCAUAAGAGCUGAGGCCUCUCUGAUCAGACUUCCCCUCUUGUCUCCUCCCACAAUUAUCCAGAGUUGUUGGUUUUACUUUUUUAAUCUCUUAGGUUUGCCCAUUUUUCUCCAUAGGCACCACCAUCAUGCAGUAGCCUUUCUGUCCAUGUCCCUGCACCUGCUUUGGUGCCUUCUGUUGGUUGUCCACACUGCAGUCAGAAUAAGCUUGUUAAAAUGCAAACCUCAUUAAGUUAUGCUUUGCCUAUAAUAUUUUUUUGAUUUUUCACUGUUCUUAGGAUAAAGACAGGCCUCCUUAAUGGGGCCUUCGAGGCUGUGCAUGGUUGGUCCAGGCUCUUCUUGUACCUUAUCUCCCUUAAGUUCCCCAGUCUGGCCUAACUGGCUUUGCUUUCCCCUCAUGUGCUGUUCCUUUUGUCUGGGAUGCUGUUCCUUGUUUACUCAGGGAAUUCUUACUCUUUUUGUAAGAGGCCAAAAAAUACCUCCCUGACUGGGUCCAGGUUCCAUUUUUGGUCCUGAUCUCUCCCAUCUCGUCUCCUUGGUGGCCCUGUCAUUGCAGAAAUAUCAUACCUAUGUGCCUUGUGCCCGGUAGAUACUUCAGAUGUUUGCCAAAGGAAGGGCACUUACUAUGGGUGCCCAACAGCCUCUGUCUAUACACUGUUCCCUUUGGGAGUUUGCUUAGCCUGUAGGGCACUGGUUACCCACCUCUUAUUUUUCUGUCAGUUCUCUCAGGUGGGGCAAGAAGGAUGGAGGAGCCACAUGUGAGAGGAUGGAGGGCCUGGGGAGCACAGUCAAAGGGAGAAUGGAUUUCUGCUCAGUAUUGUGUCUGGUUAUCCAAUUCUGACCUGGCUGAGUUCACUGUAGUAGACCCUCCAUUGACAGACAUUUCCCAUGCAUGGUUUCAGAGAAUCUUUUAGGUCUAAAUUUUGGCUAGGGUCAAUCAUAUUUUAAGAAUUUCUAGUUCUUAUUAAAAUAGCUGUCUUGAAGCUAAAAAGUGAAGACCUGCUGUAGGUUGAGGUGGAUGAAGUACCCUGGAAUGUGUCUGUUUGCUCAGUGGCACGAAUAGUUUGGUUCAGCAAGUAUUUAUUGAGUGAAUGUCUCUUGUAUACCAGAAGCCAUGUUGGUUUAUGGGAAUACAAAGAUAGGGUUGAUUUGAAGAUGGGUCAUUUCAGUCUGUCUUGCUGAAAGCUGUGAUAGAGGAGCCUGUAAUGGGAAGCUCGCUGGAUGGAGAAGGACAUUGCAGGGGAUGGGGUGGCCUGAGCUGAGGUGGGACCAGGCAAGGCUAGGAGCCAGGCUGUGAGUGGGCCUUGAUUUUAUUUCAGAGUAUAAUUGUUUUGUGACCCUAUAAGGUUCUCUGCAGACCCUCAGGAUAGUCUGGUGCUGGAAUGACGAGUUGGAGGCUGUCUGUCUGGAUCUUGGCAAGUGGAUGGGACCAGCCUAAGGCACAGAAGAGGAAACAGUGAUGAGCUGCUGAGAGGCAGAGCAGCUGUGAAGUGGUAACACAGACCACGACAGGACGUGGGACUCCCCACCUGUGGGUCCCAGUGGAACCCUUCCUCGAUCUAACUUCUAAAUUCUCUCCCGCUUUCGGCCAGCUUUCAGGAUGGGACAGGGUCCGUCGGCUCAGAAAACCCCCUUGGGCUGUCUCCUGAAAAACUUCUCAGCUUUUCCAGAUUCAUAGACUCUGUGAGUAGAGACAGCCUUGUCUUCCCAGUGAAUCAUGGCUUCAACUUCAAGAGAUGUCACUGCUGGGAGGGGCCUUCCCCCAAAGGUGAGGCCUGCGAAGCUGCUUGAGGUUCUGAGUGCUCUGGAGGAGGGAGAGUCCAGCAGUAGUAGAGAGGAGAUUUUCAUCGCACCGCCCGAUAAUGCCUCAGGGGAAUUCACUGAUGAGGACUCAGGUGAUGAAGAUGGUCAGCGAGGUGCUCACCUGCCUGGCAGCGUGCUGCACGCUUCAGUUUUGUCUGAGGAGUCUGGCACCAGUGAGGAUAAUGAUGACCUGGAGCUGCAGCCGGCCAAGAAGAGGCAAAAGACUGUAGUAAAACCUCAGCGCGUUUGGACCAAAAGAGAUAUUCGACCAGAAUUUGGCAGUUGGACAGCAUCAGAUCCUCAUAUUGAGGAUCUCAAAAGCCAGGAACUGAGUCCUGUUGGCCUCUUUGAGUUGUUUUUUGAUGAAGGAACAAUUAAUUUCAUUGUUAGUGAAACCAAUCGUUAUGCUUGGCAAAAAAAUGUCAACCUGAGUCUCACAGCCCAGGAAUUGAAGUGUGUUUUGGGCAUUUUGAUUUUAAGUGGGUACAUCUCCUAUCCAAGGAGGAGAAUGUUUUGGGAGACCUCUCCUGACUCACAUCACCAUCUUGUGGCUGAUGCAAUUCGAAGGGACAGAUUUGAAUUAAUCUUCUCAUAUCUACAUUUUGCAGAUAACAACAAACUUGAUGAAAGUGAUAGGUUUGCCAAGGUCAGGCCUCUCAUAGUUCGGAUGAACUGCAAUUUCCAGAAGCAUGCACCUUUGGAAGAGUUCUACAGCUUUGGUGAAUCCAUGUGUGAGUACUUUGGGCACCGGGGCUCUAAGCAGCUGCACGCAGGAAAGCCCGUGCGGCUCGGCUGUAAGAUCUGGUGUGGGACCACCAGCAGAGGCUACUUGGUGUGGUUUGAGCCCUCACAGGGCACACUGUUCACCAAGCCAGACAGGAGCUUGGAUCUGGGAGGCAGUAUGGUGAUAAAGUUUGUGGAUGCGCUUCAGGAGCGUGGUUUUCUGCCAUACCACAUCUUUUUUGACAAGGUUUUUACCAGUGUCAAACUGAUGUCCAUUUUGAGGAAAAAGGGGGUGAAGGCCACAGGAACUGUUUGUGAGUAUAGGACUGAGCGAUGUCCCCUCAAAGAUCCCAAGGAACUGAAAAAAAUGAAGAGGGGUUCAUUUGAUUAUAAAGUUGAUGAGAGUGAAGAGAUCAUUGUGUGCCGCUGGCAUGAUAGCAGUGUGGUCAACAUCUGCUCCAAUGCUGUGGGCAUAGAGCCAGUGAGGCUGACCAGCCGUCAGUCAGGAGCAACUAAAACACGGACCCAGGUCCAUCAGCCAUCGCUGGUGAAGCUGUAUCAGGAGAAGGCGAGGGGUGUUGGCCGGAUGGACCAGAAUAUCGCCAAGUACAAGGUGAAGAUCCGAGGCAUGAAGUGGUACUCGAGCUUCAUUGGCUAUGUCAUUGAUGCAGCCCUGAACAACGCCUGGCAGCUGCACAGGAUCUGCUGCCAGGACGCCCAGGUGGACCUCCUUGCCUUUCGGAGAUAUGUUGCCUGUGUGUAUCUGGAGAGCAAUGCUGACACUUCCUCGCAAGGGAGGCGAAGUAGGCGGCUGGAAACUGAGAGCCGCUUUGAUAUGAUUGGGCACUGGAUCAUCCACCAGCACAAGAGGACCCGAUGCGCCCUCUGCCACUCACAGACCAACACCCGGUGUGAGAAGUGCCAGAAGGGUGUCCAUGCCAAGUGCUUCCGGGAGUACCAUAUCCGCUGACAUCAUGAGGCACUGUGCUAGGCCUUUGGGAGACAAAGAUGAAUAAACUGUGGCCUCUGAUGCCAAGGACCUUUAACCUCAUUGAAGAAGGUGACCAGUGAAAGGGAAAGGUGGCAGUUUUUGACAAAGUAGGAGGAAGGCUGAAAUUCCCACUGAAACCACCAGUGAUUAGUGUUUGGCUGGAGCUGAUACCACCCCAGCACCUGGGCUACAAGAGACAACCUGGGUGUGACAUGAGCUUGUGGUGCCAACUUCAACAGCGUCAACAGUUGUAACCAUUUAUUCUCCACAUAGAGAGCCUAAUGUCUCACUUGAUGAGCUGCAGGAUACCGAGGGAGAUGUAGAAGAGUUCAGAGCCCCUAGGAGGGGAUAAGAACAGACACACUCAUGAUGACAAGGUAACCCGACACUGGAGAAAGAAAUCACUGUUCCUAGGCUUGUGUGGGAGGCAUAAAGGUGAGAAUCAAUUUGUGAGGCUGUAUAUGGGGUAAUAUCCUGAAAGUGCUUUAGGUACAAGCUCCGAGAAUCUUCAUGAGCAGCUGCACGAGAGCUGAAUGGUCAUAUCUCAGGGGCAGAAUAUAUUUGAAAGUUAUAUCUGUAUUUCAUGUGAACACAGUUUAUAGUCAUACUAUACUAAAAAGCUACUGUUCAGUCGGUAACUAGUCAGUCUGAGCAAAAUAUUAAUAGAUAAGCUAAUUAUGCAUAAAUACAGAUUAAACCCUUGUGUUCUAGGAUGGUGCUUAAGGCACCUUUGUUGUUUUCUAGCCUUUGAGAGGAGAUUCUAACCAAGCCAAGUUUCAAUAAAAGCAUCUAAAUUUAUUCAAUACACAUCAUAAAUAUUUGAAACAUAGGGUAAAGAUUUAUACACUUGACAAUAUAUAUUUAAAUUCAUGCUUGAAUUUUAAAUUUGACAGAUACUCAUGAAAGCCUAUUAUGAGCCAGGGCAAAGCUGCAUAGAAACCUCUCCCUAGUUGCUCUUCUGUGAGAUGAUCUGAGCUCAUUUGUUCACCUUGACACGAUGCUAUCAAGUCUGAAAAUUGCCUCUGCCAUCCUUCAGUUUAGAAUACUUAUGUGAUCAUCUUAUCUAUAGUUGGAAAAGUCAUAAUGAUCCUUCUGUUUUUGUGCUUUACUACAUUUGAAGAUGAGCUCCACUCCACUCCUUGCUGAGAAGCUGUAGGACUUAACUGUGCAGAGAGGAUGAAUGCUGAGGGGCAGUGCCAGAGACCAACAGGCUCUUGGCAUUUCAUUGGGCAGUGUCGGGCGGGUUUCUUGGGAGCCAGACAUCAAAGUAAGUAGCAGGGGCAUGUGAUCAAAGCAGUCUCUAUACAGGAUACUCAGAUUACAUUAACAGGAUGCUCUGCUCUAUCCCUGUUCCUCCUACUCUUUCCACAUGCAUAGAAGAAGCAUCUUGUCUUCUUGUGUAUGUUUCCAUUCAGUUAUUUCAUAAAUACUGACUGAGUGCUAAGUAGCAAGCAACUUCCAGACACUGCCAGUAUACAGUGAUAAGCCACUUUUUUUGCCCUCCAGAAACCUACACUUGCGUGGAAGAGACAUGAACACGCAAAUAGAUGUUUUACAAGAUUUCAGAUGGUGAUAAUGAGUAUGAAGGGACUUAAAGCAGGGGUGAGGGAUGAAGCCAGCCAGUGGUGUGUGUUAGAUAGGGUGGCCAGGCAAUGACUGCAAGGGAGUGAAGCUCAGGAAGGAGUGGAAGGAACAGUGCCUCUCCUCUCACACCUCUGCUUAGGACUCUGCUACCAUCCAUCUCUCUCCUCUUCUCAGAUUUCCCUCCUACCUUUCUUUCAUCCCACCUUCUCUACUUUUCAACAUCUUUCUAUGCUAAUUGGCAGGUAUAGAAAACUGAAUUAUUUAUUUUUACUCAUUGAAUAAUUGUGCUCCUCAUAAUUUAUUUUGGGGGA